rnacentral:rRNA from 1 species
GGGUUGUGAGGUUAAGCGACUAAGCGUACACGGUGGAUGCCCUGGCAGUCAGAGGCGAUGAAGGACGUGCUAAUCUGCGAAAAGCGUCGGUAAGGUGAUAUGAACCGUUACAGCCGGCGAUGUCCGAAUGGGGAAACCCAGUGUGAUUCGUCACACUAUCGUUAACUGAAUACAUAGGUUAACGAGGCGAACCGGGGGAACUGAAACAUCUAAGUACCCCGAGGAAAAGAAAUCAACCGAGAUUCCCCCAGUAGCGGCGAGCGAACGGGGAGCAGCCCAGAGUCUGAAUCAGCUUGUGUGUUAGUGGAACGGUCUGGAAAGUCCGACGGUACAGGGUGAUAGUCCCGUACACCAAAAUGCACAGGCUGUGAACUCGAAGAGUAGGGCGGGACACGUGGUAUCCUGUCUGAAUAUGGGGGGACCAUCCUCCAAGGCUAAAUACUCCUGACUGACCGAUAGUGAACCAGUACCGUGAGGGAAAGGCGAAAAGAACCCCGGCGAGGGGAGUGAAAAAGAACCUGAAACCGUGUACGUACAAGCAGUGGGAGCACCUUCGGGUGUGACUGCGUACCUUUUGUAUAAUGGGUCAGCGACUUAUAUUCUGUAGCAAGGUUAACCGUAUAGGGGAGCCGCAGGGAAACCGAGUCUUAACUGGGCGUUAAGUUGCAGGGUAUAGACCCGAAACCCGGUGAUCUAGCCAUGGGCAGGUUGAAGGUUGGGUAACACUAACUGGAGGACCGAACCGACUAAUGUUGAAAAAUUAGCGGAUGACUUGUGGCUGGGGGUGAAAGGCCAAUCAAACCGGGAGAUAGCUGGUUCUCCCCGAAAGCUAUUUAGGUAGCGCCUCGUGAACUCAUCUUCGGGGGUAGAGCACUGUUUCGGCUAGGGGGUCAUCCCGACUUACCAACCCGAUGCAAACUACGAAUACCGAAGAAUGUUAUCACGGGAGACACACGGCGGGUGCUAACGUCCGUCGUGAAGAGGGAAACAACCCAGACCGCCAGCUAAGGUCCCAAAGUCAUGGUUAAGUGGGAAACGAUGUGGGAAGGCACAGACAGCCAGGAUGUUGGCUUAGAAGCAGCCAUCAUUUAAAGAAAGCGUAAUAGCUCACUGGUCGAGUCGGCCUGCGCGGAAGAUGUAACGGGGCUAAACCAUGCACCGAAGCUGCGGCAGCGACACUAUGUGUUGUUGGGUAGGGGAGCGUUCUGUAAGCCUGCGAAGGUGUGCUGUGAGGCAUGCUGGAGGUAUCAGAAGUGCGAAUGCUGACAUAAGUAACGAUAAAGCGGGUGAAAAGCCCGCUCGCCGGAAGACCAAGGGUUCCUGUCCAACGUUAAUCGGGGCAGGGUGAGUCGACCCCUAAGGCGAGGCCGAAAGGCGUAGUCGAUGGGAAACAGGUUAAUAUUCCUGUACUUGGUGUUACUGCGAAGGGGGGACGGAGAAGGCUAUGUUAGCCGGGCGACGGUUGUCCCGGUUUAAGCAUGUAGGCUGGUUGUCCAGGCAAAUCCGGAUAAUCAAGGCUGAGGUGUGAUGACGAGGCACUACGGUGCUGAAGUAACAAAUGCCCUGCUUCCAGGAAAAGCCUCUAAGCAUCAGGUAACAUCAAAUCGUACCCCAAACCGACACAGGUGGUCAGGUAGAGAAUACCAAGGCGCUUGAGAGAACUCGGGUGAAGGAACUAGGCAAAAUGGUGCCGUAACUUCGGGAGAAGGCACGCUGGUGUGUAGGUGAAGUCCCUGCGGAUGGAGCUGAGACCAGUCGAAGAUACCAGCUGGCUGCAACUGUUUAUUAAAAACACAGCACUGUGCAAACACGAAAGUGGACGUAUACGGUGUGACGCCUGCCCGGUGCCGGAAGGUUAAUUGAUGGGGUUAUCCGUAAGGAGAAGCUCUUGAUCGAAGCCCCGGUAAACGGCGGCCGUAACUAUAACGGUCCUAAGGUAGCGAAAUUCCUUGUCGGGUAAGUUCCGACCUGCACGAAUGGCGUAAUGAUGGCCAGGCUGUCUCCACCCGAGACUCAGUGAAAUUGAACUCGCUGUGAAGAUGCAGUGUACCCGCGGCAAGACGGAAAGACCCCGUGAACCUUUACUAUAGCUUGACACUGAACAUUGAGCCUUGAUGUGUAGGAUAGGUGGGAGGCUUUGAAGCGUGGACGCCAGUCUGCGUGGAGCCAACCUUGAAAUACCACCCUUUAAUGUUUGAUGUUCUAACGUUGGCCCCUUACCGGGGUUGCGGACAGUGUCUGGUGGGUAGUUUGACUGGGGCGGUCUCCUCCCAAAGCGUAACGGAGGAGCACGAAGGUUAGCUAAUCCUGGUCGGACAUCAGGAGGUUAGUGCAAUGGCAUAAGCUAGCUUGACUGCGAGCGUGACGGCGCGAGCAGGUGCGAAAGCAGGUCAUAGUGAUCCGGUGGUUCUGAAUGGAAGGGCCAUCGCUCAACGGAUAAAAGGUACUCCGGGGAUAACAGGCUGAUACCGCCCAAGAGUUCAUAUCGACGGCGGUGUUUGGCACCUCGAUGUCGGCUCAUCACAUCCUGGGGCUGAAGUAGGUCCCAAGGGUAUGGCUGUUCGCCAUUUAAAGUGGUACGCGAGCUGGGUUUAGAACGUCGUGAGACAGUUCGGUCCCUAUCUGCCGUGGGCGCUGGAGAAUUGAGGGGGGCUGCUCCUAGUACGAGAGGACCGGAGUGGACGCAUCACUGGUGUUCGGGUUGUCAUGCCAAUGGCACUGCCCGGUAGCUAAAUGCGGAAGAGAUAAGUGCUGAAAGCAUCUAAGCACGAAACUUGCCCCGAGAUGAGUUCUCCCUGAGACUUUAAGUCUCCUGAAGGAACGUUGAAGACGACGACGUUGAUAGGCCGGGUGUGUAAGCGCAGCGAUGCGUUGAGCUAACCGGUACUAAUGAACCGUGAGGCUUAACCUUACAACGCCGAAG